rfam:Candida tropicalis MYA-3404 genomic scaffold supercont3.3, whole genome shotgun sequence.
GGUUGCGUGGUCUAGUUGGUUAUGGCAUAUGCUUAACACGCAUAACGUCCCCAGUUCGAUCCUGGGCGGAAUCA